rnacentral:lncRNA from 1 species
GAAACCCAGUGCGGUAAGAACAGAUGUUAAAGGAUCUCAGCUGCUUUUGAGGUCCCUUCUUUGUGAGCAAAUCUGUUCCGAUCCUCCCACAAACUUCCCUGGAUUACCCUCAUGUUUCAGAGACCCAAAGGCCAGCCACAGGGAUACGUGGAAGAACACGUACAGUAAAGACAAGGUUAAGAAUUUUCCAUCCCCGGAGAAUAAAGUGUACAGUUCCUUGAGAACGGAUUGCCUGUCUCCUUUCCUGCCCACCUACUAUGAAGAGCAGCUCCUCCCACCUGCCCAUAAAAGCCAAGUGCAUGUUACCAGCAGCUGAUCAGAGCCCUUUCUCAGCCCUCUCUCUACUGUUGGGAGCCACUGAUCUUCUCUCCUAGAAUCACACAUGCUCAAGGUAAGAAAAACUUCUUCAGUCAUUUGACUAUCCAGGCUUUUGCUGGGG